UGUUAAUGAAGAACAGAGGGAUUUUAAAAGAAUCUGAGAACUCAGGGUUACAGCUAGCUGUCUGACACUUAGACUAGAAAACCUUAAUUUUUCAGACUUUAAGAGAAAGAUGUUUAAAGUAUUAGAUAUGCUUGUUCCUAGAAGUGCUGUAUCUGAUGGUAUUAAAAAGAAAAAGCCAAAUGAGAGAUCAUGAAAAAAACAGAGCACAGUAUUGUAUCUUUGAACAGUAGACGUGUAACUGUAUUCGGUUGUUACUCAGAAUUUUAUAAUUGCAUUGUUCUCUUCUUAUACAGAAAAAAUGUCUUUACAAAAGGUACAGAAAAUACGCCUUCUGUGUAAUAAUGGGAAUGAAUAUCUGCAUAUUUCUCUUAUGGCACGAAAUUAAAGCAUGACCACAGGUAGUUUGCUGCCUAUACUUCACUUGGAAAUGGGAGAAUAACUCUUGUGCCAAAAACAAUGAAUUGGAGAUGAAGAUAUAAAAAUCAAGGUGGGAGAGUUAAGUAUUAUUGCCAAACAAGAUUUUUAUUUCUUCUGUCUACCCAAAUUGAGAUUGGAAACUGUAGGUAGAAGGGAAAUGUACUUCAUUUCAAUCUGCUACUGGUUGAGAGGUAUCCUACCAACUUUUCAUAGAAUCAUAGAAUCAUUAAGGUUUGAAAAGACCUCUAAGAUCAUCUAGUCCAACUGUUAAUGCACCCCCACCAUGUCCACCAAACCAUGUUCCUCUGCACCACAUCUAUCUUUUUCGUGACUAUCUCCAGGGACGGUGACUCCACCACUUCCCUGUGCAGCCUGUGCCAGUGCCUGACCACUCUUUCUGAGAUGCAGUUUUUCCUAAUAUCCAACCUAAACCUCCCCUGUGCAACUUAAGGCCAUUACCUCUUGUCAUAUCUGUGUUAUCUGGGAGAAGAAACCCAACCCUAUGUCUCCACAACCUCCUUCCAGGGAGUUGUAGAGAACCUUGAGGAAUCUCCUGAGCCUCCUCUUUUCCAGACCAAACCAUCCCAGUUCUCUCAGACACUCUCCCUGCACUUUGGACUCUUCACAGCUCUGUUGCCCCUCUCUGGACACGCUCCAGGGCUUCAGUGUCUUGUAGUAAGGGGCCCAAAACUGAAUAUGGUACUCAAGGUGUGACCUCACCUCCUGCAUCUGCUGGCUGCACUAUUUCUGAUACAAACCAGGAUGCCACUGGCUUUCUUGGCCACCUGGGCACACUGCUGGCUCAUGUUCAGCCAUCUGUUGACUAAUUGCCUUAGAUCCCUUUUCUCCCUGCAGCUUUCCAGCCACUCUGCC
ensembl:lncRNA